ensembl:lncRNA
AAAGGCGACGGAUGCAGGGUAUAAGUGAUUAGUAGUCGUGACAGUUUUUCUAGGGAAAUAAAACCAUCACGUCAAGGAAAUCAGUCUACAGUGCAUCCGUCUCCAGUGGUGUUUGUGUGUUUUACAGCUUUCUGUCACAGAGGAGUCAAAGUCUCUGGUCAAAGAACCUGAACUGGCUAGCUGACCUUUGCACUUCAGCCACUGUCCAGACCUGACACCCCUGCUCCACCGCAUCAAUCCAUGUUGUUUUACCACUUAUUAUCACUUAUUUAAAUAAAACUGAAUAGUAAUCCGUUUUGGUUAGGAAUCUUGAAUUUGAAUCCUCAGCUAUUGGCACAGUAUAUCCACUUGAAAGUUGUUUAGUAUCUGUCAGUUUGUCCAAAAAACUAACCCUGAGUAUGAGCAAUAAACAGCGAACAUUGCUUUAGAUUUGAGAGCAAACAAGAAGGACACAGCCCUGUCCUUCAGAAGCUGUUUCUGAUCUUACCCACCUACGCUCAGCAGCAGAGACCAAAGGCUGGCGCUUUAUAAUUAAAGUGCACAGGAUUAUCUGUGUCUGAGACCCAGAACACAUCACGGGAAUGCCCUGUCAAACAUUAAAC